rnacentral:rRNA from 1 species
GACGAACGCUGGCGGCGUCCUUAACACAUGCAAGUCGAACGAAGAGCGAUGGAAGCUUGCUUCUAUCAAUCUUAGUGGCGAACGGGUGAGUAACGCGUAAUCAACCUGCCCUUCAGAGGGGGACAACAGUUGGAAACGACUGCUAAUACCGCAUACGAUCCAAUCUCGGCAUCGGGACUGGAUGAAAGGUGGCCUCUAUUUAUAAGCUAUCACUGAAGGAGGGGAUUGCGUCUGAUUAGCUAGUUGGAGGGGUAACGGCCCACCAAGGCGAUGAUCAGUAGCCGGUCUGAGAGGAUGAACGGCCACAUUGGGACUGAGACACGGCCCAGACUCCUACGGGAGGCAGCAGUGGGGAAUCUUCCGCAAUGGACGAAAGUCUGACGGAGCAACGCCGCGUGAGGGAUGACGGCCGUCGGGUUGUAAAGCUCUGUUAAUCGGGACGAAUGGUUCUUGUGCGAAUAGGGCGAGGAUUUGACGGUACCGGAAUAGAAAGCCACGGCUAACUACGUG